UGGGGAAUUUUGCGCAAUGGACGAAAGUCUGACGCAGCAACGCCGCGUGGGUGACGAAGGUCUUCGGAUCGUAAAACCCUGUCGUCAGGGACGAAGGUAGGGAGUUUAAUACGCUCUUUGCUUGACGGUACCUGGAGAGGAAGCCCCGGCUAACUCUGUGCCAGCAGCCGCGGUAAUACAGAGGGGGCAAGCGUUAUUCGGAAUUAUUGGGCGUAAAGGGCGCGUAGGCGGUUCUGUAAGUAGGAUGUGCAAUCCCCGAGCUCAACUUGGGAACUGCAUCCUAGACUGCAAGACUAGAGUGCUGGAGAGGGUGGUAGAAUUCCACGUGUAGCGGUGAAAUGCGUAGAGAUGUGGAGGAAUACCAGUGGCGAAGGCGGCCACCUGGACAGUAACUGACGCU
rnacentral:rRNA from 1 species